GACAGAGGUCCCGAGCGUUAGGCGGAAUCACUGGGCUUAAAGCGUGUGUAGGCGGAUGCCUAAGUACCUUGUGAAAUCCCACGGCUCAACCGUGGAACUGCUGGGUAUACUGCGGGUCUUGAGCGGCCUAGGGGCAGACGGAACAAGUGGUGGAGCGGUGAAAUGCGUAGAUAUCAGGAGGAACACCGGUGGCGAAGGCGGUUCUCUGGGCAUUACCUGACGCUGAGGAGCGAAAGUGUGGGGAGCGAACAGG
rnacentral:rRNA from 1 species